UAUACCUAAAUGUAACACCACAGGGGGUUAUAAAAUUUUCUCUAUUGUUCAAUUUUGAGAAAGGUUUUUAGAACACCUGCAGGUGUUUCAUUUACACACAUUCGGUACCUAGACAAUGAAAGCAGGUGGUUACCCUUAGUAGUCAAAUCCCACCCGUCAUUUGCGCUUUGGCUGUGCUCCAGAGAAGUUCUAUCCGUGUCGCGUUAUACUUUCGAGCUUUCGUAUUUGCGUAGUGCUUUUUUAAUCGCAUUGUGUUUUCGAGCUUUUGAACUUUCAGUAUCGCAUUGUGCUUUUUUUUCAAAAUCGUGUUGUGCUUUUUUUUCAAAAUCGCGUUUUUUCAUGUUUUUUUUUCAUAAUUGUGUUGUGCUUUUUUUUCAAAAUCGCGAUGUGCUUUUGUUUUUGAAAUCGUGUUGUGCUUUUUUUAUUGAAAUCGCGUUGUGCUUUUUUUUCUGAAUUUGCGUGGUGCUUUUUUUUAAAAAUCGUGUGGUGCUUUUUUUUCAAAAUUGUGUUGUGCUUUUGUUUUCAAAAUCGCGUUUUUUCAUGUUUUUUUUUACAAAAUCCUGUUGUGCUUUUUUUUCAAAAUUGCAGUGUGCUUUUGUUUUUGAAAUCGCAUCAUGCUUUUUUUUCUGAAAUUGUGUGGUGCUUUUUUUUUAAAAUCGCGUUGUGCUUUUUUUUCAAAAUCACGUUUUUUUCAUGUUUUUUUAUUCAAAAUCGCGUUUUUUCAUGUUUUUUUUUUAUAAUCGUGUUGUGCU